rnacentral:rRNA from 1 species
GCGGCGGACGGCCUGAGUAACACGUGGAUAACCUACCUAUAAGACUGGGAUAACUUCGGGAAACCGGAGCUAAUACCGGAUAAUAUUUUGAACCGCAUGGUUCAAAAGUGAAAGACGGUCUUGCUGUCACUUAUAGAUGGAUCCGCGCUGCAUUAGCUAGUUGGUAAGGUAACGGCUUACCAAGGCAACGAUGCAUAGCCGACCUGAGAGGGUGAUCGGCCACACUGGAACUGAGACACGGUCCAGACUCCUACGGGAGGCAGCAGUAGGGAAUCUUCCGCAAUGGGCGAAAGCCUGACGGAGCAACGCCGCGUGAGUGAUGAAGGUCUUCGGAUCGUAAAACUCUGUUAUUAGGGAAGAACAUAUGUGUAAGUAACUGUGCACAUCUUGACGGUACCUAAUCAGAAAGCCACGGCUAACUACGUGCCAGCAGCCGCGGUAAUACGUAGGUGGCAAGCGUUAUCCGGAAUUAUUGGGCGUAAAGCGCGCGUAGGCGGUUUUUUAAGUCUGAUGUGAAAGCCCACGGCUCAACCGUGGAGGGUCAUUGGAAACUGGAAAACUUGAGUGCAGAAGAGGAAAGUGGAAUUCCAUGUGUAGCGGUGAAAUGCGCAGAGAUAUGGAGGAACACCAGUGGCGAAGGCGACUUUCUGGUCUGUAACUGACGCUGAUGUGCGAAAGCGUGGGGAUCAAACAGGAUUAGAUACCCUGGUAGUCCACGCCGUAAACGAUGAGUGCUAAGUGUUAGGGGGUUUCCGCCCCUUAGUGCUGCAGCUAACGCAUUAAGCACUCCGCCUGGGGAGUACGACCGCAAGGUUGAAACUCAAAGGAAUUGACGGGGACCCGCACAAGCGGUGGAGCAUGUGGUUUAAUUCGAAGCAACGCGAAGAACCUUACCAAAUCUUGACAUCCUUUGACAACUCUAGAGAUAGAGCCUUCCCCUUCGGGGGACAAAGUGACAGGUGGUGCAUGGUUGUCGUCAGCUCGUGUCGUGAGAUGUUGGGUUAAGUCCCGCAACGAGCGCAACCCUUAAGCUUAGUUGCCAUCAUUAAGUUGGGCACUCUAAGUUGACUGCCGGUGACAAACCGGAGGAAGGUGGGGAUGACGUCAAAUCAUCAUGCCCCUUAUGAUUUGGGCUACACACGUGCUACAAUGGACAAUACAAAGGGCAGCGAAACCGCGAGGUCAAGCAAAUCCCAUAAAGUUGUUCUCAGUUCGGAUUGUAGUCUGCAACUCGACUACAUGAA